GAUGAACGCUGGCGGCGUGCCUAAUACAUGCAAGUCGAGCGAACGGACGAGAAGCUUGCUUUUCUGAUGUUAGCGGCGGACGGGUGAGUAACACGUGGAUAACCUACCUAUAAGACUGGGAUAACUUCGGGAAACUGGAGCUAAUACCGGAUAAUAUUUUGAACCGCAUGGUUCAAAAGUGAAAGACGGUCUUGCUGUCACUUAUAGAUGGAUCCGCGCUGCAUUAGCUAGUUGGUAAGGUAACGGCUUACCAAGGCAACGAUGCAUAGCCGACCUGAGAGGGUGAUCGGCCACACUGGAACUGAGACACGGUCCAGACUCCUACGGGAGGCAGCAGUAGGGAAUCUUCCGCAAUGGGCGAAAGCCUGACGGAGCAACGCCGCGUGAGUGAUGAAGGUCUUCGGAUCGUAAAACUCUGUUAUUAGGGAAGAACACAUGUGUAAGUAACUGUGCACAUCUUGACGGUACCUAAUCAGAAAGCCACGGCUAACUACGUG
rnacentral:rRNA from 1 species